AGUCGUAACAAGGUUUCCGUAGGUGAACCUGCGGAAGGAUCAUUAAUAAACCUAGUCGUUCGCGUACAUAGGGGCAACCCUCGCGUGAUGUCAGCAAUACCUAGGUAACCCUUGAAUAAACUACCCUUGUUGCUUUGGCGGGCCGCCGUCUCGGCCAGCGGCUUCGGCUGCUGCGCGCCCGCCAGAGGACCACAACUCUUGUUUUUAGUGAUGUCUGAGUACUAUAUAAUAGUUAAAACUUUCAACAACGGAUCUCUUGGUUCUGGCAUCGAUGAAGAACGCAGCGAAAUGCGAUAAGUAAUGUGAAUUGCAGAAUACAGUGAAUCAUCGAAUCUUUGAACGCACAUUGCGCCCUUUGGUAUUCCGAAGGGCAUGCCUGUUCGAGCGUCAUUAUAACCACUCAAGCUCUCGCUUGGUAUUGGGGUGCGCGGUUCCGCGGCCUCUAAAGUCAGUGGCGGUGCCUGUCGGCUCUACGCGUAGUAAUACUCCUCGCGUCUGGGUCCGGUAGGUUGCUUGCCAACAACCCCCAACUUUUUACAGGUUGACCUCGGAUCAGGUAGGGAUACCCGCUGAACUUAAGCAUAUCAAUAAGCGGAGGAAAAGAAACCAACAGGGAUUACCUCAGUAACGGCGAGUGAAGCGGUAACAGCUCAAAUUUGAAAGCUAGCUCUUUUAGGGUUCGCAUUGUAAUUUGUAGAAGAUGCUUCGGGUGUGGCCNCGGUCUAAGUUCCUUGGAACAGGACGUCAUAGAGGGUGAGAAUCCCGUAUGUGACUGGGUGCUUUCGCUCAUGUGAAGCUCUUUCGACGAGUCGAGUUGUUUGGGAAUGCAGCUCAAAAUGGGUGGUAAAUUUCAUCUAAAGCUAAAUAUUGGCCAGAGACCGAUAGCGCACAAGUAGAGUGAUCAAAAGAUGAAAAGCACUUUGGAAAGAGAGUUAAACAGUACGUGAAAUUGUUGAAAGGGAAGCGCUUGCAACCAGACUUGCGCGCUGAUGAUCAUCCGGGCUUCUGCCCGGUGCACUCGUCUGCGCUCAGGCCAGCAUCGGUUUCGGUGGUGGGAUGAAGGCCUUGGGAAUGUAGCUUCUUUCGGGGAGUGUUAUAGCCCUCGGUGCAAUGCCGCCUACCGGGACCGAGGACCGCGCUUCGGCUAGGAUGCUGGCGUAAUGGUCGUAAGCGACC
rnacentral:rRNA from 1 species